UUCGACCGCCGCGCUGCCGAACGGGCACGACGUGUUCCCAAAGUAAAGCGAAAUUAUAAAUUUGUAAUAGAAUUGCGUAUAUUAAUUAAAAAGAAAAAAUAAAGUGAAUCAAAUAAAGCAAAUAUACAUUAACCAAAUAAGAAACAAUAAAUUAAGUACGUCCAAUACACUCAACAACAUCCAAAGUAAAUAAUGGAAACGUGCAGUCGUUUGAAAACCCCAAUAAACAGAUCCAUGAGGUAAGCCAAAACAAAAUAUAGUGUUUUAUGCUUAAUGUACCCACCUAUACCAUCCACUAAUAUUGAAUAAGUACGCACUUUUUAUUUUUGAUUGACGGACAGUAUAAUUAAGCCUGUGUAUAAUAUUGCCAUUACUUUUCAGACCAUGCAAACAUUACCCGACGGAAAAUAAUAAUAAUCAUGACAAAGGUUGUGUCGCCGCAUCCAGCCCGCAAGGAGGACUCCGCCACGUUGACGUGUCGAAACCAAUUAGACUACGAAACGGCGGCGGCAAAUCGUUCCAGCACUUGGAUGCGGCGAACCUGAAACUGCCACGGAAAGCGGUGGUGCGGUGACGAGGUACCGCGAGUGAGUAGUACGACGCACGGGUCCUGGCAGCAGUCACGUCGCGGGACCAAACUAGUUUGUCCGCAAGAUAUGGCGGUAAUUUAAAAUUAACUAUUCCGAACAUCAGCGUUGCAAAAUGAAACUGUCUGCGAUAUUUCAUUUUUAGGAUUCUAGCCUUGUUUAUGUAAGGUGUUACGUGUGUGCGGGGAGGAAUUUUGAAGCAGAAUCUAGCGCAAGCAUUCUGUACUCUCUGAACCAGUUUUUGUGAGCGCGCCAGAAGCCGAGGCCCAUACACAGCGUCCAUAUAAUUAAACUUAGAGAGAAUUAAAGA